AGGGUUUGAUCCUGGCUCAGAUUGAACGCUGGCGGAAUGCUUUACACAUGCAAGUCGAGCGGCAGCACGGGGGUAACCCUGGUGGCGAGCGGCGAACGGGUGAGUAAUACAUCGGAACAUGCCCAGUCGUGGGGGAUAACACUUCGAAAGAAGUGCUAAUACCGCAUACGUCCUGAGGGAGAAAGCGGGGGAUCGCAAGACCUCGCGCGAUUGGAGCGGCCGAUGUCAGAUUAGCUAGUUGGUGGGGUAAAGGCCUACCAAGGCAACGAUCUGUAGCUGGUCUGAGAGGAUGAUCAGCCACACUGGGACUGAGACACGGCCCAGACUCCUACGGGAGGCAGCAGUGGGGAAUUUUGGACAAUGGGGGCAACCCUGAUCCAGCCAUUCCGCGUGAGUGAAGAAGGCCUUCGGGUUGUAAAGCUCUUUCGGCAGGAACGAAACGGUGAGCUCUAACAUAGCUUGCUAAUGACGGUACCUGAAGAAGAAGCACCGGCUAACUACGUGCCAGCAGCCGCGGUAAUAC
rnacentral:rRNA from 1 species